rnacentral:rRNA from 1 species
AAUAGAUACCCGGGUAGUCCACGCCGUAAACGAUGAGUGCUAAGUGUUAGAGGGUUUCCGCCCUUUAGUGCUGCAGCAAACGCAUUAAGCACUCCGCCUGGGGAGUACGGCCGCAAGGCUGAAACUCAAAGGAAUUGACGGGGGCCCGCACAAGCGGUGGAGCAUGUGGUUUAAUUCGAAGCAACGCGAAGAACCUUACCAGGUCUUGACAUCCUCUGACAAUCCUAGAGAUAGGACGUUCCCCUUCGGGGGACAGAGUGACAGGUGGUGCAUGGUUGUCGUCAGCUCGUGUCGUGAGAUGUUGGGUUAAGUCCCGCAACGAGCGCAACCCUUGAUCUUAGUUGCCAGCAUUCAGUUGGGCACUCUAAGGUGACUGCCGGUGACAAACCGGAGGAAGGUGGGGAUGACGUCAAAUCAUCAUGCCCCUUAUGACCUGGGCUACACACGUGCUACAAUGGAUGGUACAAAGGGCUGCAAGACCGCGAGGUUUAGCCAAUCCCAUAAAACCAUUCUCAGUUCGGAUUGC